AACCAGCACCUCAAGUGGUCAGGAUGAUUAUUGGGCCUAAAGCAUCCGUAGCCUGUUCUGUAAGUUUUCGGUUAAAUCUAUGCGCUCAACGUAUAGGCUGCCGAAAAUACUGCAGAACUAGGGAGUGGGAGAGGUAGACGGUACUCGGUAGGAAGGGGUAAAAUCCUUUGAUCUAUUGAUGACCACCUGUGGCGAAGGCGGUCUACCAGAACACGUCCGACGGUGAGGACGAAGCCUAGGGGCACGAACCGG
rnacentral:rRNA from 1 species